GAGAUAGUAAUUUUUAACUUGAUUUUUGCUAUAAGUGACGUAAUACUCAAUAAAAUAACUAACUCACUGUUACCAUGGUUAUUGCUUACCAUGCAAAUAAAUAUAAAACAGGUCGACUUACCAUUGUGAUGAGCGACGCCGAGAUCUUGCAACAGCGUAGCGGCCAAAUCCGCCUUUUGGCGGGCCGAUUCGAACCUCAAAGUGUCAAUGGGCACCGUCAGGGAGCGAAACUGCUCCGUUACGCACAACGAGCCGAGACUUUGCGCGGAAACUUCCUGGAUUACGUUUAAACUCGAUUCUAUAUCGUCCUGUAACCAAACGACAACAUAAAAUAAAUUCAUAGAUUCAAGAUGGCGGCGGACUUACUUUUUUCACGAGCGCGCUUACGCCGGAUGACAGAGCAGUGCAGAUAAUCAAGGCGGCCAUGACUGGCUCUCGUGACCUCACAAAGGGCUUCUUCCCCAUUACGCAUCCUCAUUUGUGCUGAAAAUAAGAAGAAAUUCUCUUAGGGAAGUUGGGAUGACGUCACACGUUAGCCACAAGUCUUAUCAGCUUGAUCCGGCAACAGCGCCUAAUUUGUCAGCUGACCCGAUCUGUCAUUCUUGUCAAUUUCAAAACGUAAACAAAACAUAAACCGACCCGACAUAUUAUUUCAUUGUAAAAUAAUCGGUUUUUACACAUAAUUGACAUUAUUAUAGCGAUUAGCGUUUUUUUUUCGGACUAGAAUGCAGCCCUCAACGCCCGACGACGACAUGGAGACCAUAGUGGCAAAUUGUAAUAUUUUGAUUGCUGAACUGAAUAAAUGUGUAACGGAGUCUUCUCCCGUGCAAAAGCUCCUUAUGGGGGCCUGCAACGAUCUAAGCGUUCAGGUGGAAAAGUGUAAAACCCGCGUGUGGCAUGCUAAAAGGGCCGAAAACUUUAAAAAGUCCCAAGAGUUGAAGAAGCAAUGGCAGUCCAAACAAACUUGAAAAACUUUUAUUAUUAUUUGGAAUUAAUUGGGUUUAUUGUUUGUGUUGUGAAAUAGAUAAAUGUAGUUUAGUAAUA